rnacentral:rRNA from 1 species
GAUUGAACGCUGGCGCCAUGCCUUACCCAUGCAAGUCGAACGGCAGCACGGGUGCUUGCCCCUGGUGGCGAGUGGCGAACGGGUGAGUAAUACAUCGGAACAUGUCCUGUAGUGGGGGAUAGCCCGGCGAAAGCCGGAUUAAUACCGCAUACGAUCUACGGAUGAAAGCGGGGGACCUUCGGGCCUCGCGCUAUAGGGUUGGCCGAUGGCUGAUUAGCUAGUUGGUGGGGUAAAGGCCUACCAAGGCGACGAUCAGUAGCUGGUCUGAGAGGACGACCAGUCACACUGGGACUGAGACACGGCCCAGACUCCUACGGGAGGCAGCAGUGGGGAAUUUUGGACAAUGGGCGAAAGCCUGAUCCAGCAAUGCCGCGUGUGUGAAGAAGGCCUUCGGGUUGUAAAGCACUUUUGUCCGGAAAGAAAUCCUUGGCCCUAAUACGGUCGGGGGAUGACGGUACCGGAAGAAUAAGCACCGGCUAACUACGUG